CGGCGGCAGCUCACGUUCUCGGUGUGUGUGUGUGUGUGUGUGUGUGUGUGUGUGUGUGUGAAAAAGAAAAACCGCCGUAAUAAAGAACUGCGCCAACCUAAUUUCCGCGUCAGGAGGAGAACGAAACGACUCGCAGCACAUUACAUCUGUGACGCAGUAGUCAUUUCACAGGAUGGUACCAGGGGAUGCCGGUGCACCGUCUGCCAGGCUGCCUGACGGGAAUACCAGAUGAGAGAGGGAAAAGGGAAGGAGGUAGAAGAGAGGCUUGGUGUGAUAUCACUGCAGUCCUGAAGCCCCAAAUGGCUGUAGUCCGGAUGUUUUGAGGUUACCACCCCACUGCGGAGACUGCAGCGUUGCGAAGCUAUCUCAUGUGAACAUCACAAUUACACAUCAAGCUCCUGCUCCAGGCAUUAACAUGAGUGUAAUUUUAGCAUCAAUGAACCAUCAUCCGGUCUUUCCAAAUGACACCUUGUACCAGUGUCAGAGCACCGUAGUUUCAUCUACAGAUCAGCUAGAGGCAUCACAAUGACAUUUGUUUACAAUGAUAGUUAUAGAAAAACCAUAAGGAAUGAUUUUCAUAAAUGCAUAAUAGAAGCAGACGAAGUUAUAAGAUAUAGAAUUUACUCACCCUUCACCAUAAUGUAUCUUUUUGUGACAAAUACAGCAAAAGGAGUUCUUUCAUUCUUUAUUUUUUGCUGGAUGUUUGACCUGGUCUACGUCCACUUUUACUGCAUGGAAAAAAGCAGCUUGCACAUUCUACUAAAUUCCUCCUUUUGUGUUCUCCAUAAAGAAAAUCAUUACGGUAGGUAAAUUGUUAUUUUUGGGAAAACUAUCCCUUUAAGAGAAGCUUGCUGAGUUAGAAAUUGCACUUUCUACUGAAAUCGUGGCACCGUAAACCAACGAGUGGGUGAAGUCAACUGAAAUACACAGCUCAAGAACUUCACCUCAGCCUCCUUAAUAGCAACAACGGAUAUCAUUGCUUCUGAAAGCACUGAGCUUCCUUAAAAAGACAGAUAUAAACCUAUGAUGCAUAAAAAAAUAUUGUCUUCCGUACUGUAUGAAUUUGUGUGCGGUUAUGAAUCAAGCUCAUGCGGUAUAGCCCUCAAGUGCUUUAGGUCCAGGGAAGUAUGGUGGCGUUACACAACACACACUAGGGAGUCUGCAAAUCAGAGGAAAAGUGAGGGAACGUGUAAUUGUGAAAGAACAAGCAGAGCUCUGCAAGAAAAUCUCCACCCACAGUUUUACCUUGAGCAGAUAGGCAUUUGUGGGUAGAUGAGAAGAAAAGGUCAAGUAAUGUUUCUGAACUUCAUACUGGGUCUU